rnacentral:rRNA from 1 species
CCGGCGAACGGGUGCGUAACACGUGAGCAACCUUCCGAAAUAUGGGGGAUAGCCGGCCUAACGGCCGAGUAAUACCGCAUACGCUCUCGAUGAGGCAUUUCAUUGAGAGGAAACCUCCGGGGUAUUUCGAGGGGCUCGCGGCCUAUCAGCUAGUUGGCGAGGUAACGGCUCACCAAGGCAACGACGGGUAGCCGGCCUGAGAGGGCGACCGGCCACACUGGGACUGAGACACGGCCCAG